GCAGUAUAAUAUAGAACAGAUUUGUUUAUUUCAAUUGCUGUUUAGGAGAUUGAGAAAGGUUUCCCUAUCAGCUCCAGGAACAUACUAAAUACCUGCUGUAGUGAGUUGAAUUGUGGCCUCCAAAAAGAUAUGUCCAAGCCGUCAACCCCAGUACCUCUGACUGUGACCUUAUGUAGCAAAUGGGCCUUUGCAGAUGUAAUUAAGGAAUGAUCUUGGGAUGAGAUCAUCUGGAUUUAGGAUAGGCUUAAAUCCAACGACAGCAGUCCUUAAAAGAGAAUGGCAGUGGGAGAUCUGAGACACAGACAUAAGGAGGGGGAAGACCAGGUGAAGACACGGGCAGGGACUGGAGUGAUUCAGCUGUAAGCCAACGAACGCCACGGGUUGCCAGCAGCCACCUGAAGCCAGGAGGGCGUGGAAUCGGUUUUCCCUCUGAGCCUCCAGAAGGAACUGAUUCUGCCAGCACCUUGAUUUCAGGCUUCUGGCCUCCAAAACUGUGAGAGAAUUAAUUUUUGUUGUAUUUUAGGUCACCCAGUUUGUGGCUAUUUGUUAGACUAGCCCCAGUAAACCCUCUUCAGCUCCUUCUUCCAGUCUUUAGAGUCAUAUGGACUUUAACCCAAUUUAAAGCUGUAUACACGCCAUGCCAGACAUUUCAUUUUAAUUGUUUUAUUUUUGUAGAAAUGGGGUCUUGCUCUGUUGUCCAGACCGGAGUGCAGUGAUGUGAUAAUAGCUCACUGCAGCCUUGAACUCCAGGUCCAAGUGAUCCUCCUGCCUCAGCCUCUCCAAAUCUUUUAAUUUGUGUGUGUGUGUGUGUGUGUAUGACAGAAAGAGAAAGGGCAUUCUAAUUCGAAAGUGAUUGAAAAUUAUUCUCCUGGAUAACCAUCAUUAGUGAAUGAAGAAUUGGAUUAUCUUGACACAUCUCACUGUGAAAGCAGAAGGGCAUCUGGAAGGCAGAAGAAGUCAAGAAGACAGUGGAGUGAGUUCAAAUUCUGAUUGCAAAGCAACAAUUUUCAUACCUUCUCUUCUCUAGGCCACUGCACCAAGGAGCACACAUGGAGCACAGAAUAGCCUUUAAAAAUAAUAAGGUGAAAUGGAUGAGGUGAGAAAGGCCCGGACCACACCGAGAAUCGAAUGCAUGGUAAACAUAGGGCCACGGGGAAGUCUUGACACCGCUCGGCAAGAUCUCUCACCGAUGGAUCCACCCUCUAUGUUUUCUGAUUGGACACAUUUCCUGAGAUGGGAAGGAUCAUGCUAUUGGCUGAGGCUGCAUCAGGGGAGUAAUAUUUACUCUGGAAAAUCUGGGAGAGGGUGUCCCAGUCUGUGAACUACCCAGACCCCCACGUUCACAGAAUACUAGGAUGAGGAGGAUCCCAAGGAACACCUGCAUCAACUCUCAUGUUCUACAAGGGAAGAAGCCAGGUCUCAGGGACAUUAAAUCACUUUCCCAAAUGUACCAAGCUAGUUAGAGUGAAGAAAGAUCCUAUUUAUCCCAGUUCCCAGUGAAAUGCCAUUUCUGCUCCAUACCUUCUCUUCUCCAUGUGUCCUAUGCUCUCGCACUUUUUGUGCUGCUUAGCGUUUUGCCCAGAGGUGUGCCAGAGAUUAUUGCUCAUUCUUUCUCCUUCCACGGUCACAACACCUCCCUGGGCUGGUGUCACCUCUUACUUUGCAAUUCAAAACGUUGAAGAAGGUGCGACCUGUCUAGAUUUUCGUGUAGCCUUCUCUCCUGAUUGCUGUUUCAGAUAACACAUUCAGGGUGUUGGUAAAUAGCUGUGAAUCAGAGCCUCGGGGACAGCCUGGUUUGGUGUGUGGAUAGUCUGGCUAAUGUCAUAGCAGUCCCUGCCUUAAAUAUCAAUGUCCGAGGAAGGUGGGAUGCUGUUUCCAAAAGAUUGAUUUGCACUUCUGCUAAUAUAUGGCUGAGUGUUCUUUAAAAUGGAGUAUUCUGCUUGCCCUCUGCCACCUUCACAACACCCUAAAUCUUUGGAAGAACGUGCUUCUUGUUGGACCUACAAGUGGGGAGCAUCUUGCCUUGUCCGGCCUGUCCCAGUUUCUCGGGAACCCUUGAGGUUUCUGUCCCUGUUCCACAUACUUAGCCCCAUCUCCAGGCUUCCUGUCCAUCAGCCUGAGAGACCAUACUCUAGGAGUCUUAAGUGCUGAGUUCCCUAGUGGGAACUCACUGGACUGCAACGCCCCAAGUCCCUCCUUCUCUCUCUGUGCCUUGGGAUGGGCUUUGUGCCAGCUGUGCCCAUCCUGCUGUUCUGCAGCUUGGUGCCCCUUCCUAACGUGAUGGGCCUCUGCUAAGGUCAUGUUCUUUCACCAACCCAGGGUCCUUCCAGCUCCUCCACCAAAACAGUGCCCUGGUUGUCCUCACUUGUCCCAUCUUCAGCAGGGAGGCACUUGAUUCUGUGGCAUUUGGCACUGCUCACUGGGCUUUCUUUUCUUUUCACUGUAAGACUCAUGCAUUAGAUCUGUCUUGCUAUAGUCCUAACAAUGUCUCUGUGUCCCCACUCCCAUUCAACUCUUGCCAUUCUCCAGCCAUUGCUCUUGAAGAAUGUGGGACUAAUAACCCUGGGUAGGGUCACAAGGCCCUGCAGAGGUGAUGCCAUGAAGUUGCCUACACAGAACUGCCUCCCUGCUAAGAGUUCCAGGAUCAAAUUCUUCUAGGUGCCUGCUUGGGUGGGUCCUCAUCCCCACCCCUGCCCAGGGCACCAUCUGUGGGAGAUUAGGAGGUAAUCACUGUCUACCCCUCAGACACCACGUGCUGCAUGACUGUGUCCUGAGGCAGCCACAUGGCUGCCAGCUCUGAAGGUCCUGAGAUCCCCAUUCUGAGGCCCUUCGCUGACUCACUGCUCUCAUUCUUCUUUCUCUGUCCACUCUCAGGGCAACUACAUCCACACGGUGAAGGCAGGGCCUGUGUAGUGGAUGCCAGGCUGUCUUCACGUACAUUUCUCUUUCUCUUAAGCAUCCUGGACCAUAAAGCCCUAGUGUGCUGCUCCUACCUUGCCAGUAGGACUCCUGUCUCAGCUCCGUCUCCUGAAGACUGACCCUACAGGAGAGAUACAAGCAUCUCCUGUUACCUGUGCCCAGAUGGUCCUUAAAAAAUCAUUUUCCUAUUUGAUAAACAUAAAAAUGUUAUGUCUGACCAGCCAACAGGCUCUAGACCUGAGCCAUCUAGGAAGAUGAGGCCCCACCCCUAACUGGUGCCCUCUUUGCAGAUUCACUGAUGCAGAUUCUUGUCAGCAGAGAUAACUUGUCAAAUUUUACUUUCAUCAAGAGAAAUAUAAUUAGAGUGAUGUACUUUUCAUUUCUAAAUUAUGAAAUUCUAUUAUAAUGUGAAAUAUGUAUUUUCAAAGUAUACAUACAUUUCCUUUUAGAAAUGUUGAUAUACCUCCCUAGGAACUUUCCUUCCUUUUGUUAGAAAAUCAAUGCUGUAAAAUGUUAGGGAACAAAAGAAAGGUAUGGAGGAAGAUCAACCUUGUGGGACCCAGGAAGAAGCAGGGAAGAAGAAUCCCACUAUGAAACUACCUUUCCAGGACAAAUAAUGUUCUCAGAAAUGGGCAUGUACUUUGUCUCCAGGCAGAUAGCCUGCCCAUUACAUUUUUGUUUUGUUUUGUUUUGUUUUGUUUUGUUUGAGACGGAGUCUCACUCUGUCACCUAGGCUGGAGUACAGUGGCACGAUCUCGGCUCACUGCAGCCUCCACCUCCUGGGUUCAAGCGAUUCUCCUGCCUCAGCCUCCUGAGUAGCUGGGACUACAGGUGCCUGCCACCAUGCCCAGCUAAUUGUUGUAUAUAUUUUUUAGUAGAGAUGUGGUUUCACCAUGUUGGCCAGGCUGGUCUCGAACUCUUGACUUCAAGUGAUAUGCCUACCUCGACCUCCCAUUACGUUUUAAAUAGCACAGCUCUCUGCUACGUUGUAUAUUUCCCAAAUAAAAAGUUUUCAGCUCAAUCUCUAGAAAAGCUCUGCUUUAUCAACUUUCUGUUUCUCAUGCCAUGAGUUGACUAUGACUCUCUCACGCACCUGCCAAUCAGUUUUAUCACUUGCCAUUAGGAGGUCCUUGGGAAGCAAUGGGAAAGCUCCCCAGUCCAGAGAAACUAACUUCAGGCAUGUGUCUGAACUCAGAGGCUCCAACCAAGAGCAGGGAAGGGCCUUGUGGGAGGUGAGUGCAUUUUGGAUAUGGGGAGCAAGGCUGGUGGGAUUCUGCUAACGAAACUGAUCACAGGUGACAGGGCUCUCCUUUGAACUUGAUUAUUUUUAAAGUUCACCUCUCCCUGAUCCAUAACGAGGUCUGGUGAGACUUGUCAUAGUCCCAGAAUUAUUUCGAUCAUUCCAGCUCAGCCGAAACAAUGAGAGAACAUCAAUAUGGCAACUCCUCAGAUGUCUGGGAAGAGGGAUCAUCACCCAGGCCUGGGAGCUCUGCGCAGUUUUGUCUGCCUUGGCUCCAAAGUGCUCUUUGCCCUUAACACUGCACCACUGUACAGAUUCACACAGCUGGCACUAGCUCCACAGUGGCUAAGGUUGUGCUGCUUAGGACUGACCUGGAGGAGAGGGGAGAAAAAGAUGGUAUUAGUGGCUCCCUUUCAUGUCAACAGGUUCACUGAAAAAGGAGCAAAGGGCUUAGUCAUGUUUUAAUGCUCUCAAAGCUUACUAUGUAUCCAGGA
rnacentral:lncRNA from 1 species